GUGAUUUAUAAUAAACACAUUGUAGGCGAAAACAUGACCGUUAUAAAUACAAAUGCUAAAUGUUUUGAUUGCAACAGUAUCUAGUGAGACAGGAAGAAGAUCAACAGAAUGGUCAAGAUAACAGCUGUUUGUCUAUUAACCAUCAUAUGCAUAUUGGAUUUUGGGAUGUGCCUUUUCUACACAGACAGCAAAGAAAACGAUUACCCACGAAUUGGAAAGAGACGACAUUUUGAUGAACUUGUAUACAAUAACAAUUACCAGCAAAAAUACAGAGAACCCAAAAAGACAAUGGACCCUUUAACAUUAAGUGAAGCUGUUAUACCAUCUGUGUUAUUGUUUCAAUAUUUUGACUUGGAUAAAGAUGGAUUUAUAUCUGCAGGUGAAUUUUCAAGAAGAAUAUCAACUGGAUUAAGUUACUUGAUGCAAAGAGAAAUGAACUGGGAUCAUUAGUUUGAACAAUGUGCCUUUUUUGUUCAUACAUGGGGAUUGGAUAUAUUUAACACUUGCUUUUUAAUAAAUAGGGGCAGUUAAUGAUCUUAAUAAGGGUUGGUUAGUGAUAUUACUAAGGGGUUAGUGGUGUCACUGAGGGGUUAGUGAUUUCACUGCGGGGUGGAUACUAAUGGGAGGUUACUAAUAUUACUGAUAUAAGCAUGUAAAAAGAUUCUUACUUCCGUAAAUCCUGAAUAGAUUAGCAUAUUUUAUUGUUUUAAGUUUGACAAUCUUAAAUUACACCAGAGGUUCUUUUUCUACUGCUUACACUGAUCAUAUUCCUUUAGAAAAUACAAUUUAUAGAUAAUUUAAAAUAUCUGUGUUGUUUUCAAUCUAACUGAUCUGGCCAUAUGUCAUGUUAUUUUUGUACGACCCUUAGUGUCAAGUGUUUGUCAAAAAACAUUAUCAUCUAGGCCAAGAUGCUUAGUUUCAGAACUGUAUCAGAUAAAAACCGCUUGUAGACAAAAAAAAACAUAAUCAAACUGAAUAGAUCUCAAAAUAUAGAAAAUCUUAUCACUUUCUUAUUCUCAAGCACACCUGACAAAUAUGAACGUUCUGAAAAGGAAAAAAACCAUGGCUGAUAUAAAGAGAUAAUAGAUAACCUUCAAUAAUACAGCAACCUGAACGACACAAAUAUCAGAAAGACACCUACAUGUCAAUAAACAGUCUUCAAUAACACAUAGGUGAAAUCAUUUUAAAAA